GCAUGCCCUCUUCUGUGAAGAGACUGAGACUGACCAGAGCCUCAGUGCCCUGCAUGGCGCCCCCAAGAGGCCUGCUGUUGCUCCCCUGAGGUGGCACAGAGGAGGCUGCGCAUCCUGGCCUGGCUGGUUGACCACUCUGUGCAAGCAGAGUGGCUGAAAUGGACUUCUCUGCUGGGCUCUGAGUCCAGCUCAAGGUCAUGCCCCAGUCAGCCACCUGUGCUGAGGGGGCUGACUCCUGCCCCAGUACGGCCUCUACCGCCUCAUGGGGCACUUCGUCCAUUUCUUCCUGGGCACCUCCUGGAUAGUGACUCUGGGGCCCACGGCCAUCAAGUCCCUCCUGGUCUCCUACACCUUCCAUGAGCCCACGUGUGCUGAGGUGCUGGCCUUCCUGGGGGGCUGCAUGCACGUAGCCCUGGGGCUCCAGCUCUUGGGUUCCUGCUGGACGUCAUCUCCUGCCCCGUCAGUCAUGAAGGGUCCCACCCCCGCUGCUCCUGUCACCAUCGGCCUUGGGCAGAUCAAGGUGGGCUCGCUAGUUGGCGCCGCGGCACCUGCUGAGUAGCAAGACCAUAGCGGUCCUGGUAUGUGCGGACCACACGACACCUUGCUGUUCCAGAGCUCAGAGCACACGGUGCUCCCAUGGGUCCCAUGAAUAAAACGACCCCUCAGGGGAGAUGUUUGGGGAGGGUCAGAUUCUACAGCAGGUGAUUUGAGGGACCGGAAAUGACAGGCCCUGCUCUUUUGGAGUUUUCGCGCCGGAGUGCUUCGUUCCCUCACAGAGUGGUUCUGUUCCGCUGCCUCUACGACACACUCAGCCAGCAGCCUUCACAGGUCACGAGCUUCCUGCCCAAAUUUCCACAAGCAAAUGAUUCCUCCAUGCCUAUUUACCUAGAGUUUUUCAUUUUUAUGUCCUUUUCCAGUUUCUGUUGACUGUUUCAAAUGCCCUGCUUCUCUAUGUUUCUGUUUAAACCUUUAUGAAAGUGCUAUAUCAGUGACCAUCGGUUAUCUGAGGACGUCACUGAUUCUGCUCUCCCUGGGUUUGAGGUUCCUGGGGGCAGGAGCUGUCGUGCUCCCUACCGCAGCCGCCCAGCGCUGUACUUGGUAUAAAGCAGGUCAGUGCUCAGGUGGGUGUGCAGAAUGGGCCCGAGCUGCAUUGUACAAAGGAAGUCGUGGGCCCCUGGUGGUGGCUGCAGGGCCAUGCCCCUGCCUCGUGACCUGGUGUCCCCACACCGGCCUCUCCAAGGCCUGGUUCCCACGGCCAGGCUCUGCUCCGGGCUGGCCCAUGACAGUCUUCCCUAAGGGAGGGCAGUGAGCAGGUCAAGGACAGGAGGAGAUGGGAGUGAGAGUCAAGCAGCUGACACCUCUUCCCUCUCGCUCUGUGCGGGGCCUGGAUUCACACAUUCCCCCUGCACACCCCUGGGAGGCAGGCUGCUCAUCUCUCCAUUUAGAGAGGAGGAAACCCCUUACAAAGGUGCGGGUGAUGUGACUUCUAUAUUACAUACACACAUGUCAGGGGAAGCUUGGCAAAUGCUGUUUCAUGGGAAAGGCUGUGCUUUAUUCUGGAAACAACAUCCUUCCUUGUCAGUGUCAAGAAUGUUCCUUGAUCAUAAUGUUCCUAUGAUCAAAUGUGGGUCUAGGGCAGCUUCUCUAUGCGUUCGUACUUGGUGACCCGAGGCCUCCAAGGUCAUUGAACCUGGACUAGGUCAGGACAGCCAUCUGGUCCCCUAGGCUGGGGUGGGGGUGGGGGUCCUCCUGACCUGCCCAGGACAGAAGGGGCGGAGGUGCAGGUUGGAGGUGUCACCUGGCUAAGUAGCGGGGACUUCUGCGGCACCAACUCCUGAGGCACCUCCGCCUGGUGAGCAGUGUGCGCCCAGGGGAGUGUACUGUGGUCGGUGAUGGUCGCGUGAACUGAAGCGGGGACAGAGACGGGCAUCGAGAACAGGUGCACAGCUUUGUGACAAAUCCGAAUGUCUUUGUAUCUGGUUUGCUCACUCGUGGGAGGCACAUUAAAGCCUGAUGGAUUUUAACAGACCCCUGCCCUGAAGACUCACUGCGAAAGCACAGAAUUUCAUGAUCCUUUGUUGCUCUCCUGCUAGUCGCGCGGAUCCGCCUCUGUGUCUAUCAUCUUAUACAGAAUUCAGCGUGAGAUUCAGGGUCAAUGAAGAGCCCUUUCAAAGCACUGUUGCAUCCUUUUCAGUUGUAUCCUUAAGGCAUCUGUGACUUCUGGAAUCCACUCAAACCACCAGGAUGAGAGUCCCUCCAAUGACUACGAAUGGAAUUUUCAGAAAGUUUUAGUUUUACAACUGAGAAUCUGCAAGAUUCAAUUCUUCAUAACUCCAAAAUAUAUAUUUCUUAAUAUUUUAGGUUUUCAAAAACUGAUGCUUUUGAAAGAGAUACUGUUAAUUGGGCUCUGUCACUUUUAGCUCAUUGUUGGCAUGGAGCAGCAAUAAAGGUGGGCCCACUUUCCUAUUCAGGGUGCAGAUCCUUGUAAGCCAAACUCUUACACUUCUUUCCAUUUGAUGACUUCCCUGGGUUCCCCUCCCCCUGAAGUAUGAUGAUUCUCUCCUGA